UGCAAGUCGAACGAUGAUCUCCAGCUUGCUGGGGGGAUUAGUGGCGAACGGGUGAGUAACACGUGAGUAACCUGCCCUUAACUCUGGGAUAAGCCUGGGAAACUGGGUCUAAUACCGGAUAUGACUCCUCAUCGCAUGGUGGGGGGUGGAAAGCUUUUGUGGUUUUGGAUGGACUCGCGGCCUAUCAGCUUGUUGGUGAGGUAAUGGCUCACCAAGGCGACGACGGGUAGCCGGCCUGAGAGGGUGACCGGCCACACUGGGACUGAGACACGGCCCAGACUCCUACGGGAGGCAGCAGUGGGGAAUAUUGCACAAUGGGCGCAAGCCUGAUGCAGCGACGCCGCGUGAGGGAUGACGGCCUUCGGGUUGUAAACCUCUUUCAGUAGGGAAGAAGCGAAAGUGACGGUACCUGCAGAAGAAGCGCCGGCUAACUACGUGCCAGCAGCCGCGGUAAUACGUAGGGCGCAAGCGUUAUCCGGAAUUAUUGGGCGUAAAGAGCUCGUAGGCGGUUUGUCGCGUCUGCCGUGAAAGUCCGGGGCUCAACUCCGGAUCUGCGGUGGGUACGGGCAGACUAGAGUGAUGUAGGGGAGACUGGAAUUCCUGGUGUAGCGGUGAAAUGCGCAGAUAUCAGGAGGAACACCGAUGGCGAAGGCAGGUCUCUGGGCAUUAACUGACGCUGAGGAGCGAAAGCAUGGGGAGCGAACAGGAUUAGAUACCCUGGUAGUCCAUGCCGUAAACGUUGGGCACUAGGUGUGGGGGACAUUCCACGUUUUCCGCGCCGUAGCUAACGCAUUAAGUUG
rnacentral:rRNA from 1 species